rnacentral:rRNA from 1 species
GAUGAACGCUGGCGGCGUGCCUAAUACAUGCAAGUCGAGCGAACGGACGAGAAGCUUGCUUCUCUGAUGUUAGCGGCGGACGGGUGAGUAACACGUGGAUAACCUACCUAUAAGACUGGGAUAACUUCGGGAAACCGGAGCUAAUACCGGAUAAUAUUUUGAACCGCAUGGUUCAAAAGUGAAAGACGGUCUUGCUGUCACUUAUAGAUGGAUCCGCGCUGCAUUAGCUAGUUGGUAAGGUAACGGCUUACCAAGGCAACGAUGCAUAGCCGACCUGAGAGGGGGGUCGGCCCACCUGGACAUAGACCCCGGCCCAACCCCCUACGGGAGGCCGCGGGAGGGAAUCUUCCGAAAGGGGCGAAAGCCUAACGGGGCAACGCCGGGGGGGUGAGGAAGGUCUUGGGUUCGUAAACCUCUGUUUUUAGGGAAAAACAUAUGUGUAAGUAACGGUCCAAAUUUUGCCGGUCCCAAAAAAAAAAGCCCCGCCAAACUCCGU